CUACGGGGGGCUCCAGUGAGGAAUAUUGCACAAUGGGGGGAACCCUGAUGCAGCAACGCCGCGUGGAGGAUGACGCAUUUCGGUGUGUAAACUCCUUUUAUAUGUCAAGAAAAUGACGGUAGCAUAUGAAUAAGCACCGGCUAACUCCGUGCCAGCAGCCGCGGUAAUACGGAGGGUGCAAGCGUUACUCGGAAUCACUUGGCGUAAAGGACGCGUAGGCGGGUUGGAAAGUCAGGUGUGAAAUCCUACAGCUUAACUGUAGAACUGCACUUGAAACUUCUAAUAUAGAGUAUGGGAGGGGGAGAUGGAAUUAGUGGUGUAGGGGUAAAAUCCGUAGAUAUCACUAGGAAUACCUAAAGCGAAGGCGAUCUCCUGGAACAUUACUGACGCUAAGGCGUGAAAGCGUGGGGAGCAAACAGGAUUAGAUACCCCCGUAGUC
rnacentral:rRNA from 1 species